AGCAUUAUAGAACGUGGGGAGCAUGAGAAAUACACGGAGGUGGAAACGCCGGAGUGGCUGGCGGGUAAAGGCAGCGGGCGCAGAUGAAGCGGGCUGGGCGUCCCACGCGCAGAACCGUCCCGGACAGAAGCCGCAGGGCUGCGCUGGCUGGAAAAAGGAACGCGAGUACAGCGCGCGUGGCGCGGGGUCUGCUCCAGGACGGAAUCUUUUGGGUGGCCCGCAUGAGGGGUUUGCAGGACCCCGGGCCUUUGGGAAGUUAUCUGCUAAACUCCAGUAGACCCUGAGGAGCAGCGGCUCAUGAAUCUUCUUAAACUUCUGUCAUCAGCGGCUGGGCCAGCUGAAGGUGACCAUGGCACACGAGGGAGAGAGAAGCCCGCGAGAGGCGGAGAAAUGUGGGGUCGUCCAGGAGGGUCGACAAGGCAAAGAACCUGAAGACGACCCAAAAGGAGUUGAACUUCCUCUCUUUUUAGAAGAAUGGAUUUCUCGGAGUCUGAAAAAUUUAUGGUUCUUCUCUGGAAGAAUUUUAUUUUAAAGAGGCGGCGAUGUAUUGCUUUAGUUG
rnacentral:lncRNA from 1 species